GACGAACGCUGGCGGCGUGCCUAAUACAUGCAAGUAGAACGCUGAAGAGAGGAGCUUGCUCUUCUUGGAUGAGUUGCGAACGGGUGAGUAACGCGUAGGUAACCUGCCUUGUAGCGGGGGAUAACUAUUGGAAACGAUAGCUAAUACCGCAUAACAAUGGAUGACACAUGUCAUUUAUUUGAAAGGGGCAAUUGCUCCACUACAAGAUGGACCUGCGUUGUAUUAGCUAGUAGGUGAGGUAACGGCUCACCUAGGCGACGAUACAUAGCCGACCUGAGAGGGUGAUCGGCCACACUGGGACUGAGACACGGCCCAGACUCCUACGGGAGGCAGCAGUAGGGAAUCUUCGGCAAUGGGGGCAACCCUGACCGAGCAACGCCGCGUGAGUGAAGAAGGUUUUCGGAUCGUAAAGCUCUGUUGUAAGUCAAGAACGAGUGUGAGAGUGGAAAGUU
rnacentral:rRNA from 1 species